rnacentral:rRNA from 1 species
GAGCGGCGCACAGGGAGAGUAACGCGUGGAUACCUGCCCCGUAGGUCCGCGGAUAGCCCAUCGAAAGGUGGGGUAAUACCGGAUAACAUCUCCGGAUCAAAGGUGUGAUUCCGCCUCGGGAUGGGUCCGCGUCCUAUUAGCUUGUUGGUGGGGUAAUGGCCUACCAAGGCGACGAUCGGUAGUGCGCGUUAGCGCGUGGCCCGCCUCACUGGGACUGAGACACUGCCCAGACACCUACUGGUGGCUGCAGUCGACAAUCUUCGGCAAUGGGCGCAAGCCUGACCGAGCGACGCCGCGUGCGGGAUGAAGGCCUUCGGGUUGUAAACCGCUGUCAGAGGGGAGGAAGGGUCCGUGAAGAGCGGAACUUGACCUAUCCUCAGACGAAGUGCGGGCUAAGUUCGUGCCAGCAGCCGCGGUAAGACGAACCGCACAAACGUUGUUCGGAAUCACUGGGCUUAAAGGGUGCGUAGGCGGCCGUUCAAGUCGGGUGUGAAAGCCCUCAGCUUAACUGAGGAAUUGCGCCCGAUACUGUUCGGCUUGAGGGAGACAGAGGUGAGCGGAACUUGCGGUGGAGCGGUGAAAUGCGUUGAUAUCGCAAGGAACACCAGUAGCGAAAGCGGCUCACUGGGUCUCUUCUGACGCUGAGGCACGAAAGCUAGGGUAGCGAAGAGGAUUAGAUACCCUCGUAGUCCUAGCUGUAAACGCUGAGCACUGGAUUGGAGGGUCCUCCAUAGCCUUCCGGUCGUAGCGAAAGUGUUAAGUGACUCCGCCUGGGGAGUAUGGUCGCAAGGUUGAAACUCAAAGGAAUUGAUGGGGGCUCACACAAGCGGUGGAGGAUGUGGCUUAAUUCGAGGCUACGCGAAGAACCUUAUCCUGGAUUUGACAUGCAUGGAUUAACCCCUGGAAACAGGGGCCACGCCCUCGGGUGGAACAUGCACAGGUGCUGCAUGGCUGUCGUCAGCUCGUGUCGUGAGAUGUCGGGUUAAGUCCCUUAACGAGCGAAACCCUUGUCGUUAGUUGCCAGCGGGUCAUGCCGGGGACUCUAACGAGACUGCCGGUGUUAAACCGGAGGAAGGUGGGGAUGACGUCAAGUCCUCAUGGCCUUUAUGUCCAGGGCUGCAAACGUCCUACAAUGGCGUGCACAAAGGGAAGCGAACUCGCGAGAGCAAGCAAAUCCCAAAAAUCACGCCCCAGUUCGAAUUGCAGGCUGCAAACUCGCCUGCAUGAAGCCGGAAUCGCUAGUAAUCGCGGGUCAGCAUACCGCGGUGAAUGUGUUCUUGAGCCUGUACACACCGCCCGUCAAGCCACGUAAGUGGGGGGCCGGCGAAGUCGCCGAGCUAACCCGUAAGGGAAGCA